GCUCAAUCAGCAGGCCUCAGCUCUGACCACCUCCUGUCAUGUCACCUUUGCUCAACUGUCUGGACCCUCUGGACCACCUGGACAACACAUCACCUGGAACCCUCCACUUCCUCUUUGGCAGUCGUCCCUUCCACCUCCAACUGACUGGACCGGACCGGACCGGACCGAACGCCGUGGGACAACCAUCUGCUGAUACAGGUCUUCCUUGAUGAACUCUCCAGGUGGUGGCAAGAGU